UUGAGUUUUGUAUUCAAUUUAUAUAUUUUUUUUACAAAACAUGCAAAGUAUGGAAUGGAUAGUACUUAAAAGCAUUUUUAUUAUCAUCACUACUGUACAAAUUAGAGGUUUUCCAGCUGGAGUUUGUUCAGUAUACCAAAGGACAAGACAAGGUAGGAACAGAACAGUGUGGCACUGUUGUCAUCAUUUUUACAAAAUGAACGGAGUCUGUGUUGAAUGUCCGAUUGGUCACACUUCGAAGGGCAAGUCGUGUAAAAAAUGCGAGUAUGGAAAAUAUGGACACAAAUGCGCAGAAAAAUGCAGAUGUAUCAGCACGA